rnacentral:rRNA from 1 species
UACGUAGGGGGCAAGCGUUGUCCGGAGUUACUGGGCGUAAAGCGCACGCAGGCGGUCUCUUAAGUUUGGAGUGACAGUUGGUGGCUUAACUGCCAAAGUGCUUCGAAAACUGAGAGACUUGAGGGCUUCAGAGGGACACGGAAUUCCCGGUGUAGUGGUGAAAUGCGUAGAGAUCGGGAGGAACACCAGUGGCGAAGGCGGCCGGCUGGGGGUGACCUGACGCUGAGGCGCGAAAGCGUGGGGAGCGAACCGG